GAUGAAGAACGUAGCGAAAUGCGAUAAGUAAUGUGAAUUGCAGAAUUCAGUGAAUCAUCGAGUCUUUGAACGCACAUUGCGCCCCCUGGUAUUCCGGGGGGCAUGCCUGUCAGAGCGUCAUUGCUGCCCUCAAGCACGGCUUGUGUGUUGGGCCCCGCCCCCCGGCUCCCGGGGGGCGGGCCCGAAAGGCAGCGGCGGCACCGCGUCCGGUCCUCGAGCGUAUGGGGCUUCGUCACCCGCUCCGUAGGCCCGGCCGGCGCCCGCCGGCGACCCCCCUCAAUCUUUUCAGGUUGACCUCGGAUCAGGUAGGGAUACCCGCUGAACUUAAGCAUAUCAAUAAGCGGAGGA
rnacentral:misc_RNA from 1 species